rnacentral:rRNA from 1 species
GUUGAACGCUGGCGGCAGGCCUAACACAUGCAAGUCGAGCGGAACGGCGAACGGGUGAGUACUGCCUAGGAAUCUACCCGGUAGUGGGGGAUACCGUACGGACACGGGAGAUAUUAACGCAUACUCUCAUAUGCCCCUCGGUUGUAUUAGCUAGUUGGGGGGGUAAAGGCCUACCAAGGCGACGAUCCGUAACUGGUCUGAGAGGGUGAUCAGUCACACGGGGACUGAGACACGGUCCAGACUCCUACGGGAGGCAGCAGUAGGGAAUAUUGGGCAAUGGGCGAAAGCCUGAUCCAGCCAUGCCGCGUGUGUGAAGAAGGUCUUCGGAUUGUAAAGCACUGUAAGUUGGGAAGCGGUACCUAAAGAAUAAGCACCGGCUAACUACGUGCCAGCCGCCGCGGUAAUAC